UACGGAGGGUGCGAGCGUUGUCCGGAAUCAUUGGGCGUAAAGGGCGCGUAGGUGGCGGGACAAGCGUGCGGUGAAAGCCUGGGGCUCAACCCCGGGUCGGCCGUGCGAACUGUUUUGCUUGAGCACUGUAGAGGCAGGCGGAAUUCCGGGUGUAGCGGUGGAAUGCGUAGAGAUCGGAAGGAACGUCAAUGGCGAAGGCAGCCACCUGGCAUCAUACUGACGCUGAGGCGCGAAAGCGUGGGGAGCGAACAGG
rnacentral:rRNA from 1 species